GGCUUAAUAGUUUAAAAAAAACAUUGAUUUUGUAAAUCAAAUAUAGAAAUCCCUUUAAGUUA
rnacentral:tRNA from 1 species